rnacentral:rRNA from 1 species
GACGUAGGGUGCAAGCGUUGUCCGGAUUUAUUGGGCGUAAAGAGCUCGUAGGCGGCUUGUUGCGUCGACUGUGAAAACCCGCGGCUUAACCGCGGGCUUGCAGUUGAUACGGGCAGGCUAGAGUUCGGUAGGGGAGACUGGAAUUCCUGGUGUAGCGGUGAAAUGCGCAGAUAUCAGGAGGAACACCGGUGGCGAAGGCGGGUCUCUGGGUCGAUACUGACGCUGAGGAGCGAAAGCGUGGGGAGCGAACAGG